rnacentral:misc_RNA from 1 species
GAUGAAGAACGUAGCGAAAUGCGAUAAGUAAUGCGAAUUGCAGAAUCCGUGAGUCAUCGAACCUUUGAACGCACAUUGCGCCCUCUGGUAUUCCGGAGGGCAUGCCUGUUCGAGCGUCAUUAUCACCCCUCAAGCCCGGCUUGUUGUUGGAUGCAGCGCUUAUCCCGCUCCUCCCAAAGAUAAUGACGGCGUCUGCGACGACUCCUGUACACUGAGCUUUCGGGCACGUACACGGCUAGAAGUCCAGACCCGGUCGCCGUCCCCCCCGCGGGGACACCCAUUACCACAAGGUUGACCUCGGAUCAGGUAGGAAUACCCGCUGAACUUAAGCAUAUCAAUAAGCGGAGGA